AGAGUUUGAUCAUGGCUCAGAUUGAACGCUGGCGGCAGGCCUAACACAUGCAAGUCGAGCGGUAGCACAGGAGAGCUUGCUCUCUGGGUGACGAGCGGCGGACGGGUGAGUAAUGUCUGGGAAACUGCCUGAUGGAGGGGGAUAACUACUGGAAACGGUAGCUAAUACCGCAUAACGUCUUCGGACCAAAGAGGGGGACCUUCGGGCCUCUUGCCAUCAGAUGUGCCCAGAUGGGAUUAGCUAGUAGGUGAGGUAAUGGCUCACCUAGGCGACGAUCCCUAGCUGGUCUGAGAGGAUGACCAGCCACACUGGAACUGAGACACGGUCCAGACUCCUACGGGACGCAGCAG
rnacentral:rRNA from 1 species